rnacentral:sRNA from 1 species
GAUAUAUGUUACCAAGGGGCCAGGCGCGGUGGCUCACGCCUGUAAUUCCAGCACUUUGGGAGGCCGAGAUUGGAUCUGGUUCCUCGCGUCUUGGAACAGCAGCAACUAUUAAAGGAGAUACAGACACUGCUAAGACUUCUGAUGAUAUCAGUUUAAGUCUGGGCCAAAGUUCUAGUCUUUGUAAGGAAGGAAGUGAAGAACAAGAUUUGGCAGCUGAUCGGAAGCUCUUUCGUCUUGUCUCCAAUGACUCCUUCAUCUCUAUUCAGCCUUCCUUAUCCUCUUGUGGACAGGACUUGCCAAGGGACUUCAGUGACAAAGUGAACCUGCCAAAUCAUAACCACCACCACCAUGUUGAUCAGUCUCUGUCCAGCGCCUGUGACACAGAAGUAGCUUCUCUUGUACCUUUACACUCACACUCUUAUAGAAAAGACCACCGGCCGCGAGGUGUACCACGGACUUCUAGCUCUGCUGUGGCUUUUCCAGACACUUCACUGAAUGAUUUUCCCCUUUAUCAGCAAAGACGUGGAUUAGAUCCAGUUAGUGAGUUAGAAUC